rnacentral:rRNA from 1 species
UACGUAGGGUGCGAGCGUUAAUCGGAAUUACUGGGCGUAAAGCGUGCGCAGGCGGUUUUGUAAGCCAGAUGUGAAAUCCCCGGGCUCAACCUGGGAAUGGCAUUUGGGACUGCAAGGCUGGAGUGCGGCAGAGGAGACUGGAAUUCCUGGUGUAGCAGUGAAAUGCGCAGAUAUCAGGAGGAACACCAAUUGCGAAGGCAGCUCGCUGGGACGUUACUGACGCUAAGGCGCGAAAGCGUGGGGAGCGAACAGG